GAUCCCUUAGCUCAGUGGUAGAGUGUGUGAUUCCAGUUCCUGGAGCUUCCACAAAGUCAUCCGUUCAAAUCGGGUAGGGAUCA